rnacentral:snRNA from 1 species
GUGCUCACUUUGGCAGCACAUAUACUAAAAUUGGAAUGAUAUAGAGAAGAUUAGCAUGGCCCCUGUGCAAAGAUGACAUGCAAAUUUGUGAAGCGUUCCAUAUUUUU